GAUGUUCGGUUAAGUCCGCUAACGAGCGCAACCCUCGCUGUGUGUUAUAUGUGUCACACGGGACUGCCGGUCUUAAGCCGGAGGAAGGUGGGGAUGAUGUCAAGUCAGCAUGGCCUUUAUAUCCUGGGCUACACACACGCUACAAUGGCCAACACAAUAGGUUGCUAAGCCGCGAGGUGGCGCCAAUCCAUAAAGUUGGUCUCAGUUCAGAUUGUAGGCUGCAACCCGCCUGCAUGAAGAUGGAGUUGCUAGUAACCGCAGGUCAGCUAUACUGCGGUGAAUACGUUCCCGGGCUU
rnacentral:rRNA from 1 species